GCGCAAGAUGUAUAAGUGCGUGGAUUUUUUACGAAUUCAACGUCAUUUUGGAAGGGCGCUAAAGUCUAGCUCCAUGUACCGAUCGUUAUAAAACUCAAACGCCUACCUGAAGGGUCUGGGCAUGCAAUUACAACUUCUUUUUAUAUCCAAAAGCUCUUUGAAUAUGAAAUCGGCACAGUUAUUAUUUGGUACCGAUUUAUUAUUGGCAAGAUUUAAUCACGUGUAGAAUGUCAACCGAAGUUUUCCCAAGAACCUCGUGCGAAGUGUUGGAAUUUUCACGUAUUCCCAGGAGAUCUUAGAAUAAAUUUACAGCUGGCCAAUGGUUGAAUUUAGAUAUAGGUCGAGGUCAGCCUUCAACGCCAAGCCCUAAUCGGCGGUAAGCUUGCGUUUCAGCCCAGCCUCGGAUAUGAGGGCGCUUCUCUGUUCCGAUGUCAGCCUCCGUACCUCGUUCGCUCGCUGGUGGAUCUUCGCCGCAGAGUCUCGUUCGAAACUUUCUCGGAGUUGGUACUACUAUAAGCGUUAACGGC